rnacentral:rRNA from 1 species
GAUGAACGCUGGCGGCGUGCCUAAUACAUGCAAGUCGAGCGAACAGACGAGGAGCUUGCUCCUCUGACGUUAGCGGCGGACGGGUGAGUAACACGUGGAUAACCUACCUAUAAGACUGGGAUAACUUCGGGAAACCGGAGCUAAUACCGGAUAACAUGUUGAACCGCAUGGUUCAACAGUGGAAGACGGUUUUGCUGUCACGUAUAGAUGGAUCCGCGCCGCAUUAGCUAGUUGGUAAGGUAACGGCUUACCAAGGCAACGAUGCGUAGCCGACCUGAGAGGGUGAUCGGCCACACUGGAACUGAGACACGGUCCAGACUCCUACGGGAGGCAGCAGUAGGGAAUCUUCCGCAAUGGGCGAAAGCCUGACGGAGCAACGCCGCGUGAGUGAAGAAGGUCUUCGGAUCGUAGAACUCUGUUAUUAGUGAAGAACAAAUGUGUAAGUAACUAUGCACGUCUUGACGGUACCUAAUCAGAAAGCCACGGCUAACUACGUG